UGGGUCUGGAACAACAUGGGGGAGAGUAAAUUAUGACCAUUUUUAUUAUUUGGUAAAUUAACCCUUUGAAGAGCAGCCCUCCACGUACAUGAACAUUUGUGAGGCCACUGAUGAAGAACAGGUGGUGACUGGGAUGAAUGCUGGUCAGAGAGGAGAACUUCCUUUCCUCUAAACUGAUGCAGCAGUAGUUUUAAAGGAGGACGCUACCCUGGAUGAUGUAGAAGAAGUCACAUGCUGUGCUGAUGGGGCUUCUUCAUGACUACAUCAAUUAUGCUGAAGAGAUCAUGAAAGUUGACAGUGACACAUGAUUUGUAUUCAUGGACUAUGAAACAAACUGUAAGUGUAUAUUUUGUAAAAACAA